UCUCUGGUAGCACAUCGGCUAACGCGUGGGCUGGACAUUGAAAAGUUUGUCAGCGCGAAAUCUGGGUUCGAUUCCUAGCUAGAGAG
rnacentral:tRNA from 1 species